GGGUUCUUAGCUCAGUUGGUUAGAGCGCUACCUUGACAUGGUAGAGGUCACAGGUUCGACUCCUGUAGGACCCA
rnacentral:tRNA from 1 species